rnacentral:rRNA from 1 species
AUGCAUAGCUUCCUGAAUCCUGAGAUCAGCUUAAGCUUCAAAGCCAAAAUGGGUGAAGCUGAGGAUGGGUUCACCCCACUGUCUCAGUUGAACCCAUCAUCGGAUUACAGGCAGAGUCCAGAUGCGCAUCUCAGGAUGUGGAUCUCCUUCAACCCAAACAACGGCACUGUGUUCGGCCUCGACAGCCUUCUCAUCGACAGCGAGGGUGGAACUAUGCAAGCCCAUGUAAAACCCAAAGAUAUAAAGCGUUUCGAAGAUUGGCUAGCUGAAGGGAAGCUCUUUGCACUGUCAGAUUUUGUAGUUUGUCCAAGCGAGCGGAAAUAUAUGACCUGUAGGAACCCCUUCAUGAUGCACAUUGAAGCACAUACGGUGGUCGACGAGAUCGAUGGAGAUGUCGACGCCAUACCUCUCCACUGCUUUAAUUUUGUUGACUUUGUCGAUGUUCCUUCUAGGGACCGCAAGAUUAGCUUAUUGACAGAUGUUAUUGGCCAAGUAGUCGAAGUUUGGGGCAUAGAAAGGACCCCAAAGAAAUUGCGGAUGAUAGAAUUUGCAGCUUACUGA